AUUUAUAAAGGUUUUAAUCCUUUUUUUUUUA
rnacentral:tRNA from 2 species